AUGCAGGAGGAGAAAUUGUACACAUUUGCUGGUUUCAGCAUUGAAGGUGACAAGCGGAUGUUGAACAAGUCUGGUUUGGAGAUCAACCCCAACAACUUCAUCGACAUGCAGCCAAGUGGAAAGAUCCAACCACAGCCAAAUUCUACGACUCCUUGGCCGAUGUUGCAGCCAGCGUCAUCCACCCAUUCUACAAAGGCAUGA
rnacentral:rRNA from 1 species